rnacentral:rRNA from 1 species
UCCAGGCAAAUCCGGAUAAUCAAGGCUGAGGUGUGAUGACGAGGCACUACGGUGCUGAAGUAACAAAUGCCCUGCUUCCAGGAAAAGCCUCUAAGCAUCAGGUAACAUCAAAUCGUACCCCAAACCGACACAGGUGGUCAGGUAGAGAAUACCAAGGCGCUUGAGAGAACUCGGGUGAAGGAACUAGGCAAAAUGGUGCCGUAACUUCGGGAGAAGGCACGCUGGUGUGUAGGUGAAGCCCCUGCGGGUGGAGCUGAGACCAGUCGAAGAUACCAGCUGGCUGCAACUGUUUAUUAAAAACACAGCACUGUGCAAACACGAAAGUGGACGUAUACGGUGUGACGCCUGCCCGGUGCCGGAAGGUUAAUUGAUGGGGUUAUCCGUAAGGAGAAGCUCUUGAUCGAAGCCCCGGUAAACGGCGGCCGUAACUAUAACGGUCCUAAGGUAGCGAAAUUCCUUGUCGGGUAAGUUCCGACCUGCACGAAUGGCGUAAUGAUGGCCAGGCUGUCUCCACCCGAGACUCAGUGAAAUUGAACUCGCUGUGAAGAUGCAGUGUACCCGCGGCAAGACGGAAAGACCCCGUGAACCUUUACUAUAGCUUGACACUGAACAUUGAGCCUUGAUGUGUAGGAUAGGUGGGAGGCUUUGAAGCGUGGACGCCAGUCUGCGUGGAGCCAACCUUGAAAUACCACCCUUUAAUGUUUGAUGUUCUAACGUUGGCCCCUGAUCGGGGUUGCGGACAGUGUCUGGUGGGUAGUUUGACUGGGGCGGUCUCCUCCCAAAGCGUAACGGAGGAGCACGAAGGUUAGCUAAUCCUGGUCGGACAUCAGGAGGUUAGUGCAAUGGCAUAAGCUAGCUUGACUGCGAGCGUGACGGCGCGAGCAGGUGCGAAAGCAGGUCAUAGUGAUCCGGUGGUUCUGAAUGGAAGGGCCAUCGCUCAACGGAUAAAAGGUACUCCGGGGAUAACAGGCUGAUACCGCCCAAGAGUUCAUAUCGACGGCGGUGUUUGGCACCUCGAUGUCGGCUCAUCACAUCCUGGGGCUGAAGUAGGUCCCAAGGGUAUGGCUGUUCGCCAUUUAAAGUGGUACGCGAGCUGGGUUUAGAACGUCGUGAGACAGUUCGGUCCCUAUCUGCCGUGGGCGCUGGAGAAUUGAGGGGGGCUGCUCCUAGUACGAGAGGACCGGAGUGGACGCAUCACUGGUGUUCGGGUUGUCAUGCCAAUGGCACUGCCCGGUAGCUAAAUGCGGAAGAGAUAAGUGCUGAAAGCAUCUAAGCACGAAACUUGCCCCGAGAUGAGUUCUCCCUGAGACUUUAAGUCUCCUGAAGGAACGUUAAAGACGAUGACGUUGAUAGGCCGGGUGUGUAAGCGCAGCGAUGCGUUGAGCUAACCGGUACUAAUGAACCGUGAGGCUUAACC